rnacentral:rRNA from 1 species
GAUGAACGCUGGCGGCGUGCCUAAUACAUGCCAGUCGAGCGAACAGACGAGGAGCUUGCUCCUCUGACGUUAGCGGCGGACGGGUGAGUAACACGUGGAUAACCUACCUAUAAGACUGGGAUAACUUCGGGAAACCGGAGCUAAUACCGGAUAAUAUAUUGAACCGCAUGGUUCAAUAGUGAAAGACGGUUUUGCUGUCACUUAUAGAUGGAUCCGCGCCGCAUUAGCUAGUUGGUAAGGUAACGGCUUACCAAGGCAACGAUGCGUAGCCGACCCGAGAGGGUGAUCGGCCACACUGGAACUGAGACACGGUCCAGACUCCUACGGGAGGCAGCAGUAGGGAAUCUUCCGCAAUGGGCGAAAGCCUGACGGAGCAACGCCGCGUGAGUGAUGAAGGUCUUCAGAUCGUAAAACUCUGUCAUUAGGGAAGAACAAAUGUGUAAGUAACUAUGCACGUCUUGACGGUACCUAAUCAGAAAGCCACGGCUAACUACGUG